CUCUUUUCAAAACUCCUCCCCAAAAAGCGCUUUAAUGUAGAAAACUUUGGUUCGAGACCAGAACCUCGGGAGGCUGGUGCAAAGAUGACACCCGAUAAUAACUCUUGUCUUCAUCAGCUGCUGCCAGGCUACACCCAGACAAGCCAUCUGCCACCCAGGAAGCUACAUACUGAAAAAUGUCCAUCCUGGCAAAAUGUGAUGAGAUAAACUGAGAUGCUCCCUGAAGAAAAGACUAUCAGCCAUGGGCUUUUUCCAGUGGCCAGUGACAAGGGGAGCAGAGAUUACAGCUCUCAAGUGCCUUCUAGUAACCAAAGAGACUGGCAAGGGAUCCAUCAAGUGGUACAUGAAGAACAAAAGAGAAACAUGGAGCAGGAAAAGGCACUUUUCUGGAGAAAAACUGAAGAUUGUGGGAGGUAAACUGAGCUCCAUUUUAUAAUUGUGUUGAAUUCAGCAAGGUAAACCAUAAGCCUAUAAUUUUUAAAAAUAAUAUUCUCUGUUGUAAUAUAUAACAGUCUUUAUGAAUUGUUAUUUCUCUCUUACCACUUUGCCUUUCAAGGCAUUUUGAAUGUUAGUCCUCUGUCCAAGUGAGGGCAUAUCUGCAUGCACCACCUAACCUCUUUAACCAUGUAUAGAUGCAAAUUUUUAAAGAAUUGUAUAUAGAGGGAAAAUAACCAAAAUAACAGAAACAGAUAAUCCUGGAACCUUAACACAGUGGUUUUGGUUUCCUUGAAAAUUAUUGGCAGAUUUGCUGAAGAAAAACAUGAGUUCACAAAGACUACAGAUUCCUACAGGAGGUAAUAGGAAAAAGAUUCUAACUUGAUGCAUUUCCCAUUUUCUUAAACUUCCAACCAGCUUUUUCCAAAGCUAAACAGUAACACCUAAACACUGGCAUACACAUGCAGAUUUCAUUUAGAAUUUUCAAAGGUCAGUUCUGAGCAACUAUGUGCUUUGGAAAUCCAUUUAGGAGCACAGAUACUGUUCUUAGACAGUAAACAAAUGAAGAUGGACAUUUAUGCCUCUUGUUGAACAUUCCACAAACUUAUACAGAAGUCCACACCUAAAUAAGUUUAAUAUUAGGUAUCAUGAUAUUCUAUACAUUUCAUAACUUCUUAGAUACGUUUAGUUAAUUCUUGUUAUCAAUAAAACGUAUCUUUAACCAGAUAUAUCAUCUCCUAACUACUUCUUAGAUCUUCUGGAUUAGGCACUGUUAUACCUAGUAUGCUAUUAUUUGCAUUUAUUUUUCUGGAUAACUUUUACUGCACAAGGAACCUGUGUUGCUGUUCUGUAGAAGUGUAUACAACACACUGUGUUCCCCUACAGACUAAUGAAUUCCUGGGUCUCUUCCCUGAGAACUGACUUCUGCCACAGGUUCUCUAAUCUGUGUUAUGUCUGGCCUGUCUCAUUCUCCUUGCCUAUCUGCCCCCAGUGUCCACUCUUCAGGUUUUUGACCCCUCCUAGCUCUUUUUUUUUAGAGUGUCCAUGUUUUCAUUUAGAGACUGAACCCUGGCUGUUUUUAAUCCAGAUAGUCCCAGUUCUCAACCACACCCCAGCUGUCACCACAGACAUAGGCAACCACUCUGCAUGGCAGUGUAGCACAGUGGGCAUGAAUGUCAUAGAACUGCUUGGCUCAGGGACUAGGGAUUGCUCCUUGGAAGAGAUGACAUCAUCCAUGAAGGUGUAGCCUCUUCGUGUCCACUUGGGUCCCAGAUUCCCCAGAGUAUCCUUGUUUCCUGUUCUUGCCCUAAUGUGAUUAGUGGUAAGUAUUUCCUUGCCCAGUGAGUCCUACUACUUCACAAAAUGAGUGUCAGGUACAUAGUAGUACAGGAAGAAAACCCAAUCUGUCACCAAGCCCAGGAAGAGUAAGUUUUUGCUAAAAGAGGUAACUUAUCUUAACAAGUCAGGGACAGAGAUGUCCCUACAAGCUUACAGACUGAACCAUCGUACAGGUUCAGCUUUCUGAUUCUGUAAUUACUGAAAUAUUUAGUCAAGACCAGCUGGAUUGCAGAUUAAUAUUUCCAAUUCUAGGUUAUCUGUGUAGCCACAUUCUUCACAGGUGGCAGUGAGGCAAGAAAGUGCUUGUAAUUUAGCAUUUGGAAAGUUGGCAUACACUUCUAUGUCAGCUUCCCUUUUUAGCUAAAUGCUGUUUCAAAAAUCUUCCAUGUUAGACAUGGGUGAAAAUAACUUAGAGAUUGGAGGAGCUUUUCAGACAGGAGUCAACAGAAAUGAAAACCCUACUCUAUCUCUGCACAGUACAAGCAAUAUUUAAAUAUCCCAGGCAUUUUCACAACAGUUUGCGUUGGAGGAAAUCUGAACUGAACACAGACCAUAAUCUUUCUAAUGGCAUUUUAAAUUCGUUGAGCACAUUGGCAGUUAGCCAGUUGUCUGACAAUAUUACAGGAAAGGGGUUAGGUCAGAAUGACCUAGACACAUGCAGGAAAACCAUUACCUUCUCAAGGCAUUCUGCUUGGGAUAAUGAUUUUGAAACCUGCAACGAGGAAUGGAUCAUGUUAUAGCAGUGAACUUAGGAUGGAACACCUGGACUAAUGAGUGCUACUGAUGUGAAGAAGUGUUGAUACUCCCCUCAUUGCUGCUACAGAGAAAGAGCCCUAAGAGGCUGAAUGCUGUUUAAGUGGAAAAGCUUGAUGGUGUGUGUCUGAGAACAUAGUUGCCUUCUGGCUCAGGAUAACACUGUCAGGCAGUACCACCUCAGGGUACCAGUGUGGGCUUUUGGGCUCAGUGGGAAAUGCUAUGGUUCCAAAGGGCAUUAUCAUUUUCAGACUGGGAAAGAGCAGCUGUGAUGGAUAUAACUGAGCACAGUUACUACCAGACUGCGCUGAACAGAACAGAAGGCUCUAAGGCUAUGCUAUGGCCUGAAAACUGCAGUUCGGUAAAGUUCCAUCCCAGCUAUUUGGUGGACAAAAGCACUCUGGUCAGCCAUCUGAUCCAUUUACUUUUCUCUCUCAUGUCUGUGACUCUAAAUGUUUGAGACGAGUCCCAAGAAGUCCAGAAUGAAACACUGAAUGUGUCAUGAUAAGAAAAAAUAUUUUUCUCCUCCUCUUGAUUCUGAAGCUGUGAGCUAAAUUGUGUUUGCUUUCCUUUGCCAUCCACUUCUAACACAUAAACAAAGCAACCACUAUUCUGUUGCAAUGUGUCUGAGGUAGCUGUAAUCACCACACUGACUGACAGUAAUCGGUAUUUGCUUUGGUCAGCUUUAAAGCCAUGCUAAUUAAAAUUGAGCUUCCCACUUACAUAUUGAAAGAAACACAGUAUCUGGAGGCAAGAUCAUGUUGUCAAGCAUCCGGGGAAAACUUUAAUAAAUCCUCAGGCACCAAUGUCUGCCUCCCUCAUAGCUGUCAACAGUAGCCUCCAUGCUCCAAAAGAACACUGUGUCAUAUUCUCUAGGCUCUUGUCCUCUCAAUGUGCAUCAAAAAUUCUACUAGUAGGACAAGGAAAGCUUACUAUGCUAGGUAGCAAACCAGCACAUAUUGUCAAUUGGGCAUUCAUGUGAUAGCCAAAGAUAUUUACUAUUUUUUCUGAAGUUUUCUUUCUCCAGUACUUCACUGGUGCACUUUCUUGAGCAUGCAUAGCAUCCCAGAGACCUGUAGAAUGGGGAAUAGAAAAUACCAAAACAGGAGGCAGAACUAGGGAAUACAGUGUGCAAUUCCUCAGGUGUGGGCUUUAGUCAGGACACUGGAGUCAGUACAGAAUGCCUAAUAAACUCUUUAAUUAUGGCACAGUUUAACAUUGUCUUAAAGUACCUCCAGCAGCCUGUUGCCGCCCAUGUUAAGUUGGUUAAUUAUGGAAUCAGCAGAAAGUGCUCACCCUUCUGAAGCAUUAGCACACUGCCUGCUGUUCUGGUUCAGCUGGGUGUUGUCCAUUCAGUCAAUCACUAGCUACUGACAUUUGAUAACAUGAAAUUGGAGUCAGAGGCUUCAGAACAGUAGAAUGUCUUUGUCUUGUAACCUCUGUCUGCUCAAAAAAAACCUCUGCAAACACUUCAAGGUGAUUUGAAAUCUAGCAAAAUAAUUUUCAGAGGAUGCCUUGCAGUGUCAUAAGAUAUUACAUGUCUUCACUUACAAAAACUUGAAAUAGGUGCCAGGAAAACUAAAAUAAAGAACUUCAAAAUCAGAUUAAAUAGAUACCAGUGAAUUUUCCAGGACUUUUCCAUGCUUCAUUUUCUAACUUGUUAAUAAUACAAAUGCUUCUGCAAGAAGGAGGUCAGUACCAAGAAGAAAGUUAUAGUGUUUGUGUCUUGUUCAUCUUUAAUUAAUGUGUUUUUUAUAAGUCACUGAUAAAACUAAAGAUAUUAUUGCUUCAACAUCCUCCUUAAGAUGUUGACAAACUCACGUUAAGUAUGUAGAAAGAUUUUAUAACUGAAGAUACUUAUGCGUCAAUUUAUGUAUGUUAUCAUUUGACAGCAUUGUCAUAAGAUGCUAUUUUUAGUGCUACUAUUGUCUGCUUUAAUUAUUUUAUUUUUUGUUAUUCUGGCAAACAUGGAACUUGUCUGAAAAUAUUCAGGUUCUGAUGUGAGAACCACAAAAAUUGUAGGUUCCAAAUGACUGCAAGAACUACAAGAUGUCUUGAUUAACCCAGAUUUACCAGCAUGAAUGUUAGCUUUUUCAUUGUUCUGUAAUAUAGGCCUGUAAAAAGAAAAUAUACUUAUUAUGUUGCUGUAAGACAUUUUGACAGUUUGGUAGACAUUGCAUUCCUACUUUCUUUUCUGUCUUGUAUGGCAUUGCUCUCUUCCAUACCAUUUAGUAGUUGCAUAAUUGUUCCCUUUCAAGCAUACAAACAAUGAGGUCAACUUGAGUCAUGUCAAAUAACUAGAGCAAAUACCACAUAUGAAACCGUUUAAGAUAAUAAGUCAUGUGAUCACAUAUAUUACCUCUUGCCUGGAUUUUCUGGAUCGUACUAGAAGUGUGUUAGAAUACACAAAAGCAACAGGGCUUACCAGCUGACUGUUUUGCCUAUGAUAAGCAACUGUUGAGCAGUUUAUUGCAAAGUAUUUAAUACAGACAAGCUAGAAUUGAAAGUUACCUUCCUCUAAAUCAUUAUGCUUCUUCUUUAAACUGACAUUUUCAAGGCAAAACCUGUGUUUUCCUGCAGAAAAAAUAUGACAGGGAUGAAGAUUUAAUUUUAUUUUAGUGGUUUUAAUAACAUUCAGCUAUGUUACAUUUUAAAGCUGCCUAAUUAUCAGAUGUAACAUCUGGGAUACAGUAUCUAUCAGACUGUGUUCUAUCCAAACUGGGCACAGAUACAAGAAAGUGUUAUUUGUAUUUAUUAACUGGAACAUACAGCGAAAGGUCAACACUUUCCCUAUUCAUCCUUCAUCAGCAGAAAGGCUGGUGAGAAAGCAGGGUAAAAGUAAAACUCCUUAAUCAACAAAGACUUGUGACUUCAAAAAUAUGCAAGACACAUGAAAGCAAAGAACGAGCUUCUUAUCCGUGCAUUUUUUUCUUUUAUUGAAUAUCAUUCAGUUCAAUUAUACUCAUAGAGCACAUCGCGGACCUCUGCUGUUCUCAACUGAAGUCAAAAGAAGUGGUUUCUCUCUUGCUACAGUGGUUGACAAGAAGAAAAGCAUUAAAACACUGUUUCUAAACAAGCAGCAAUUAAGAGAAAGCAGAACAUGGUUAAAAUAGUUCCCAUUAAUAUGUUUUAUUCUAUCUGCAGCACCCUUGAAGUAGUCAAACUGGUCAGUUGCUUCUAUAACCCUCCCAACUAUUUGUGGUAGUAGUUUCAAUUACUGGCCCUUCAAUGCAAGUUGUUCUGUGUCACGUCUAGAGAUCUUGUGAGUCUUUCUCUUUUGUUAUCUACACUGCAAGGCCUCACAGAGAAGAGUUAACUCUCCUCUAACCUUACGGUCCUAGAGAGUUUCAAGCUGCUGCUGGAGGGUGUGUGGACGCAUAGGUUGAACGAUCCUGUUGGUAUCUCUUAGUGUGUAGAUGUGUGUUUCUAUACCUCUAUGCUCUCACUAGCCAGUUUUCCAGUCAUCUGCUACAGCACUGGUACCGUUCACAUUCCCAAUAUAGCACAAUAGAGUGGCUUUUCUUGCAUGGAGGCUACUGUCAACACAGAAGCUUUAUUCAUAAUAACAUAAAAAAUGUAUGACUGGGUUAGAGCAGUAGUCUGUCUAGGCCAAUGUGCUGCCCCCACUGUCUCCUGCAGUGAAAGGAGAUAUUGUUUGGGGACAUCAUGUGAACCUGGCCACUUCCUGUAGUCUAUUCUUCUCAUACUCUCCCAGCAUCAUUGGAUUAAAGAUUUUAAAGAGCACACCUUUGCCUAUUCUCUCUAAUAUCUGUUUUGAUACUGUUAUCUGAGAUAUCUUCUCUUUUUUUUUUUUUUACUUGCUGAUGCCAUCUACCUCCACAGCCUCUCAGGACAAGAAAUUCCAGGAAUUCACUAACUGUUGUGUAAAAAAGUAUUUUCUUUUAUCAGUUUUAAACCACUUCCCUGCUAGUUUCAGUGAGUGCCUCCUCCCACCGCCCCAGUUGUAAUAUUGCAGGAUUUGAUGAAUGACACUUCUGCGUUCACCUUAUCCACCGCCUUAAUGAUUUUGUAAACCUAAACCACUCUUCAGCCUUCACUUCUCCAAAUGGAAGAGUUCCAGACUUUUUAGUCUCUCCUCAGAAGGCAGCCACUCCAUCCCGUUGACCCUCUUCAUUGCUCUUCUCUGCCCUCUGUAGUAGAUCCACUGUCUUUGUGCCAUAGAGAUCAGAACUGUGUGCUGAACUCAAGGUGGAGGUGCACUGAGGUUUUAUUUAGUGCCAGACUGACCCCUCUGUCAUGUUCUCAGUAACCUUCCUGAUGAUGCCCAACAUACUGACUUCUGGCUGCUGCUGGACACUGAGCCAGAAGAUCACUUUUUCUGCUCAGCAUCUCAGAUUUGGCCUACAGCACCUAUUCUCUUUCUAAAAGGACUGGGCUUUUCCAGUCCCUUUCUCCAUCAUACAUCUUUUUUUUCCCUCCAAUCACAUUUACUUUGAAUACAUGGGAGCUGCCAGAGUUAAAGUCUGGACUAAUUCAGUGACUGGUGGCUUCAGACUGCCAUGUUUUUAAACAGAGAGCAGAAUGGAAUCCUAACUGGAAACCAAAACUGGAUCUGGAACAGAGUUUGAAAUAUCAUUUUGAAGGCCUAUUCAAACAUACAUAAAUAUAAAAGUUACUACUUCAAAAUAGCAAUUUGCCUGAGAUCUGGCAUCCCCUAGCAGAUAUUUGUGCAGUACAAGGAUUGCUUAGCCUAGUUUUUGCACAAGCCUUUGAUUCAAGACUGUAGCAAGGGUACCCUGGGUGCCCUAUGCUGCUCUUUAGAUUCUCACUGGGCUUGUUCACACAGGGGCCUGUGUCCAGUGACCUCCAGUAAACAGCCUUUAAUGAAAGAGGACUAGCAAUAGCUUUGAUUCCUGUUCUUCUAUAUCUGUCAGUUGUUUGGUUAUCACUAAUGAGGUGCCCUGUAGGUGACAGUAGGCCUAAGUUUCUCAAGCCUUUUCCCAUCAGUCCUAUGGUAUGCCUUACAGGGGUAGGUGUGUUUACAUGUAUGUGUUCCUGUGCUUCCAUGAUCUAUAUUUUGUGUGUGCAUUCAUCCAUUGGGUAGUGGUGGUUCAGCCUAUUCAUUAGUCCUGUCUCCCACUCCUGUGCCUGAACUGCCAGUAGUUAACUGCAGUGUGUCACCUUAUUUGCAGCCUUACUUGGGGCCUUACAGAUUUAGGCAGAGGGAAGCUGCUUUUCUGGCUUGGGAACAACUGAUGCCUGUCCUGAGGCAAGGAAGCAAAGAUGUAGGCUGAAGUAACAUCCUGGCUGAAGGUCCAUGCUCCAGCUGUGCCCCAUUCAUACAACAUUUCCAUUCUCAUAUUUGUUAUUGUUCAUAAUAGAGUAUGUAAUAUGUAAGCUGGGUGGGCUAAAUGAACCAACUAGUGAAUCACUAUAUCCAGUAUAGAGCAAAUUUAACCAGCAUUGAUUCCAAAUCAGAGGUAAAUAGAAGAUGUACCAUUUCAACUACUUCUUUUAAACCCAUUAUGAAUAAAAGGCUGAAUGUUGUUUGUAGGCAUCAUAUAGCAUGUAAUUUUUUGAAAAAACUCUACAGUCAUAGAGAUGAAAAGAAAUAUUUUGAUGGAAGGCUCAUUUUUCAAUGCCUGUUUGAGUUGCUCAGCAGGAUUAAAAAUAACAUUUAAAAAAUCCUUCACAUAGGGCAAGAGAUCCUUACAAUCUUUUACAAGUCAUCUCUGCUGUCUUUAGCUUCCUCAGGUAGAAUUUGAAGAAGCCUUUCAUACCAGAUAUACUACUUCCUUCUUGUGUAAGUGUUGUUGGAAUGUGUAAUAAUAAAAACAUUUUGCAGCAGGUUAUUUAAUAAAAUAAGAAUACUUGUAUUAUAGUAAGUAUAUAUAACUUACAUAAUUAUAUCAGAGUAAAUAUGACUGUGAUUUCAAUCCAGUAUAAAAAUGUCAUUGCAGAAAAUAUUCCCUUCUGUUUGUAACAGCUAGAGGAACAACUUCAGUUCUGUGAUCGUAAAAGCUGACAGCUCACACCUAACUACUAGUGAGGUGGUGCAUUGUUUAUGCCUUACUUAGAUAGAUGGGAGAAACAGGUCAGUGUGAUUCAUCAUACUGUUCUGAUUCCUGCCUUUUAAAAAGCUCUCUGUCUAGAAAUGAAGACCAUGUGUACAUCUCUCCAAUCACGAGUUCUCCUGAAAAGGCCAUAUUGGUCCUUCUAACUUCAGCCUUCUUUACUUAUCAGUAGAUAGGUAAUUCCUGUAACACACAGAAGCCAGUGUUCUCCUUUGAUCCCUUCAUGUCACACCUUGAAAACAUAAUUUUCUCAAAAAAUGCUGCUAGGUUCACUGUUCUCGUGGUAGCCCACAGUGGCAAAAGUGGUAUUAGGAUAGAAGUAUCCAGGCAUCUGUUGGGCAAAGUGUAACCCCUGAGCUUGCUCAGAACAACAGAAAGAACAGAAUAGUUUCCUUUCUCCAUCUCCUCAGAAUAUGUAACAGUAUUGUGCUGUUCCUGCUUUUUCUGAGUAAAGCCCAGGAGGAUUGAAAAAUUUGAGUCUCUGCCUUACUCAGCAUAUUGAGUAACCAGCCCAGGCCAGAUAUAAAAUUCUUUUAGAUGCAGGCCUCCCUGCUGGCAGCAGCACUGUGCCACUUUGACAUCCAGCAAUAAUUUUAAAUGAGAGUGAUUUAUUUUUCUGUAGCAGGCAGCAGAUGGCAGCAAAGUUGUACAGAUGCGCCAGACUAGUAGAAGAAGAAUAUCUUCGUACACACACUCUCUAACAACAUUCCAUGGAAAAAACGUAUCAUUUGUUUCUGUCUGUCUUGCAGUGUGGUUAAGGCAAUAAAUCAGGUUUAAUGGCCCUCGUGCGUUUGUAACGUGAGGGGUUUUUUCCCCCUGUUACCAGGAGUUAAUGAAAUCAUAUUGGGAUGAGAUGAUGUGAAUUAUCACUCAGUAAAUCAUCUUUGCAGGAAUCACUUCUUUGUGCAAAUCUUUUUAUAUCCUUCAUUAAACAGAUACUGAUUGCCUUGUGCAAAUAUUAUCACAAAGUGCUACGCUGUCUGUGUGUGUGCACUCUGACUGAUACAGGAGCUUUGACUGCCAAUCUCUGCUGUGAGCUGUGUAUGUCACUCACUCUCUCAUUUGAGUUAGUCGUCUGGAUACAUCCUUUUCCAAGGCUUCAAAAUAGGUGAUGAGAUUUUUUUUUUAAGGAGAGAGAGGGGGGAGGAAAUGCUACUAUAUAAAGUUAUAGUGUUUCAAUCAUUCCAAAAUCCUACUGCAUUAAAUAAAAAAUGGAAGUCUGGGUUUUGGACAAGAACACUGGAAGUUUCUGGGAUUUGAUCCCUACUCAUGAACACAUUUAGCACUGCACUUGACACAUGUAUGUUUGUUGAAGCUGUCAUUGCCAGCAGCACCACAUCCAUUUAAGAGGAGCAGCAAUGAUCAUACAUUGCUGAACUCGUUUCCGAUUGAACUGAGAGUCUGGAUUUGAGUUACCUCUUUUUGAUAGAGUUCUUGUCCCUUACUUCUAACUUUCAGUAGUUUAUUCAGACUUCAAAACCAGAACUUGUGAAUAAGUGAAGUAUAAAGCAAAACUUACAAUACAAUCUUCCAGUACAAAAAUAGACAUGUUUUUGAAAAAAAGCUGGGGCUUAGAUUUUUUUCCUGCUGAAGUCAGUAGAAGUUUUGUUUCAAUUAGAUGGGAUCAGUCUCAGGCCUGGGAUUUGGUGUUGAGAUUCCUAUCUGGCUCACCAAUUCAUCACCACCAGAAUGUCUGAUGUCUGUAGGCAGUAAGAAGACUAAUGAUAUAUGCCAGUUGCAUAUUUUUCAUGUUGUUUAUCAAUAAAGGGCCAGACUAUGAAUUUGUUCCUUAUGCAGAAUGAGAUGCAGAGCUGCACAGCCCCAGGAAAAAAAUGACUUAGAAAAAGUGACUUAGAAAUCCAUCACUUUUUCCUUGUCUCUAAAAAGAACAAAUUCACUUUACAAGGUGCAGCUGUCUUCUUCCAGUGUGAAGACUCAGAUCUGCUCCUGAGUCCUUAUAUACAGGCAGAGAAGUGUAGUGGCCUCUGCCUUUACAGCUUUCUAGCAGAGAGCCACAAUAGAGUCAGGUCAUGUAAGGGAAAAUGAGGAACCCCCACACCCUUUUGUCCUCUCCUGUAACAGCAGCAGGAUGAAUUACAUGGUGGCCUUUUAGUCUUUGAGUGUUUCAGUUUCAUGAUAACUCCUGUGACAGUAACCACCUAUUAAAAGGACAAUAAUCAUGUUUGUUUGAUGAACUGCUUAGUUUGCUCCUGAACUAACAGAUAAGAUCCGUUAUAUUUGUUCUCCUGUUUCUGCCAAUACUACUGGACAUCAGAGAUUAAGACCUGGACAUUUGUUUGUUUAUUUUUACACCAUGUUAGCAAAGUAUGAAGAAAAUAUAAACCAUUUUAUAAUUGCUGGAAAAGUUGUGUGUAAUUUGCAAACUGACAGAUCUGGGAAGUGAUAGUUGACAAAGUAUUGGAAGAAUAUUUAUUUUGCAAACCUAUUCUGAGAGUCAGAAUUUAUUACAAAAUAUUUACCUUCAGCUGGGUUGGACUGAUCUUUCCUGACUUUGGAAAAACCCAGGCUUUUGUAAGUGGAUGGAAGACUCAAGGAGGUCUAGUUAAAUGUUUGGUAGAAGUUAUCACAGAAUCAAACGAAGUCAAAAGAUUUCAUUUGGCCUCCUCAUUGCUGUUGCUGGGAAUUUUGCAAGCAAAACACCCCAGUCUUAUCAAAUCAUUAAAGUUGAUUCUAGUCUUAAUGAAACCAUUUGUUUUUCAUUUGGAGACAUUAUAGUUAUCAAGCAUUUUGACUAGUUUAUAUAGCGUGCAGUAAAAAGGCUUUUACAUAGCAAAGUUCUUUACCUCACAAACAAAUUAUGCUCCUUCUCCUCAUGAAGGGUACAUGGCCCUGCUCCAAAGAAUUAAAUAUUUAAAAACUAAAACAAUUUCAAAGCUGACACAAAUUAUUUGGUGAAAAAACCUGUUCUUUAGAAAUAUUUGGAUAAUAAAAGCAAACCCUUGUGAACACAAUAAACAAAUUUUAGUUAGGCAUAAUUGGAUUUAGUUAUUGGUUGUACUCAGUCAUGCUGGAAUUUUUUCUCCUGAUGCCUGUGUGCUCAACACUACUUAAGUAUGAUGUGAGAUAAUAUAAAAUGGUGUAUUGACGGCACAAGGAAAAUAUUUGAAUGGCUGUCUGGAGUUGCCAUUAUUGGCUUUAAUUAUGACUUGCUCUCCUUUGGGUACUAAAUGAGCCAGAAAAGGCUUCAUAUGUGCCAAAGUAUUCAUUAGUAUUCCCCUUUCUGUCAUUGUACUUGCAGAAAAAGUUUAAAUCUGGCACCUGACUGCAGUUCUUAUUAGCACGGACCAAGAUGCUUUGCAGAUUUUGAUAAUCAUCUGAAAGCACACCAGUGUCUCUACUUUUUGGAUACAGUAGAAGUUGUUCCUAGGUAACAAUGGCAGAACUCUUUGACCACUUUGUGAUGUAACUGGAGAACAAACAUUUUUUGCAGUCCUCCAUGUGACGUGGCUGCUUGAAGUAAGUUUUGUGGUACCAACUGGAGAAAGAAAAAUAAUUACUUGUUUCCCUCUGCCAGGUUAGGGGACCUGCACUAGGACUUUAUGGGAAAGCACUUGUAUAUCAGCAUUUUAGGCCCCUUGCCACCACUCUGUAUAGCACGAAUAAUGGAACCACAAAAAUCUGUCUGAGAUAAAAAUAGCCUUUGGAUUCUAUUUUGGUAAUAAAAAAUUGUCUAUAGUGAAGUACAUUUUCUUUGCCAUAGGAUGUCUCUAGGGUAGGUUCAAAACAAAAUAAUAACUCAUAAAGAGUAUUCCAUGAACUCUUCUGACACUUCACCGUGGAGGCUCUACUGAGAAUGGUGACCACUCCUUUGGCAUCAGCUCUUGAAUAGACUGGUGGAUAAGGAUGAAUUCCUGCUUCAAUAUGUAUUUACCAUCACAAAACUUAAUUUUAAUUUAGAACCUUGUUUGAACUGAACUUAUAGUCAUGUUUUAAGUGGCCUUUGAAAUGCUGGCCUGUGGGACACCAGACUGUUCUUAGAAACAAAUACUUUAACUGAGGUGUUGUGUAAACAGAUGCUCCUGAUUUUGGAGGCAUUUGAUGACCACUUCCACUUCUCAUCUCUCACAUUAAAGCAUAAGCUGGCCUUGACACAGUUCUUCUUGAACUUCUAAGACUUUUCAGAGGAUGCUUGCUUUCAUGGGCUGAUACUAUUUCACAGUCUUGUUCUCCCUGAAACCUCAGGGGUUUCAAAACCCUCACACUCCUUAGAGAUUUUAAUCUAGUUCAUGUAUGGAUUUCAACUACUGCUUAAAGGUUAGUGCCCAACAUUUUGCUUUGUGGGAUGUUUGUAGUGAAAAGAUGCUUAGCCAAAGUUCUUCAGUAAUGUCCCCUGCUUGGGCAGGAGGAAGAGCUUUCACCUGGACAGCUCCCACUUGGGGCAGGUGCAGAAAUGGAUGAGAAGGGAGAAUGCUGUCUCUAUAUAUUUUAGCCCUUACAGAGCAGUUCCCCAAAACCUGGAACUCAGUUUGGGAUAUGCGGUUAGCUGUGCAAUAGGAAAGAGUCCCUGCCUGCUCUGCCGUUCUUCUCCAGCCUGUCUAGCAUAGCCUAAGUAGGUUAGUUGAAAUACAUGGUCAUAGUAUUUCCAGGGUUUACUUUUCAGCUCCAUACAUUGAAAGAACGUGCUGUCUUCCAGGCACAGGGCUACUCACUACUUUCUGGCACAUCUAGUUCAGCAGUGUUGAUCUUUACGCUUUACAAGACAUGGUUUCAAAGAUUUGGGGGAGGGGGAUGGAAUGGAGGAAAUAAAAAAAAAAAAAAAAUCUUUUCUUUAGUUGCUGUUUAUUGCAACCACGGAGUUUUGCUUCUCCCUACAAGCACGGCAGGUGGUGCUCUUGAUCCUUCCAGACAGAAAUUGUACUUGGUAAGCUCCAGUAAGGUCAGAAUUAUGCCAUCCAACACCAGCUUGCUGGUUUUAGCCCUCUCUGGUUAAUCCAAGGAUCUUUCAGCUUUGAGUGAAGUGGUUUUUAUCAGUGAAAGGGAAGGGAGGGACGAAAACGUAUUUUAAGUGGGGACUGGGUGUUGGCAGUAAAUGAAGAAAAGAUCAAUACAAACAGAAGUAGCUAGUUGGCAAGUACAUACUUAGCCACGCUAUAGCCCAAUCCAGCCUUGGGUCCAAAAUUUAGAUGACAAAGGUGCUAGCUCUGCAACCCAUAAGUAAAACAUUGUAGCUAUUAAAUUGUAUGGUCCUACUGAAGUCAUUUUGGUUGUGCUAUGUACUUUAAGUAGGAUCACACCUUCACCUACACAUUGUAAUUUCCCACCACAAGUACCCCAAAACUUAUAAGCAGCAACUAUUCUGAUUUCAAGAUCUUUCAUGAUUUGAGAAUAGCCACUUGCUUGUUUCUCAGCUGGCAGCUAUAAACUGUGCUGAAAAUCAUGCAUUUGCUGUCACCCCUUAGAUCUUAUGAAACCUGGAUCAGAAAGGCCAUCAGCAGUAGAGAGGUAAAUUCUCUUCCAGCUGUUAAUAAACAGAUGGUAAUUAAAACUGGCAAGUGUCAAUAUAUAUGCAUUUUUUUAAAAAAAGAACAUUUCAAGUGGAAAACCCACUUUUCAAGAUUCCAAAAUUCUUAGUUGAAAAUGUUUAGGAUAGUCACUCAAAAUAGGCAAUUCUGAGCAGAACUUCAAAACUUUGGGGAGAAAGAUUAUUAUGAAUAUAUGCCAGGUAUCUGGUCAACUGGAUUCCUACCCAAGCUUUUUUGCAGCAGUAUUCCUGGAAAGGUGUGAUUGCUGGUUCUUUUGAAUUUUUCUUGUAAAUAUAUGUUCCUUAGGCAUUUAGUAUUAGGUAAACAUAUAUGCCUGCUUCAUUUAUUCUAGCAGCAUUUAGUGCUGCUGUUCCCCAGUCCUCUCCUGUAUAUGUUAACUAUGUUCAGAGAUACUCUAAAAUAGGGGAGAUUGUAUGUUUUACCCGAGAUGUUAUUCAAAUACACUUGCUUCGUUUGUAGGUUUUCUUGGAGUGCAAAGAGUAGACACCAAGAGAUGGUGCUGUUGGUGCAUUAAUAAGGUUGAGGUUCACAUUUGUUUUCUGGUCUGUGGUUGGAAUUUGUUUAAAAAAGAAAAAAAAAAAGAAAAAAAAAAAGAACAAAACAACAAAAUCCCUAAUGCUAAGCUUUUAUCCAAGAUGUUCUGCCUGCACUGAACUGGUCACCAUUUAACUUUAACCUGAACUGUGGCCCAGGAAAUCCUUCAACAUAAAUAACCUUGG